UAUUUAUCUAUGGAAAAAAUGUAUUUACAGUAUAAAAAUAGAACAGAUAAGGUUUGAUACUAUUGAUUUGAAUAAAGCACAAGCUCUUUGGCAGACUCUCCGCCUUUAUUCCACCUCACAUGACAUGAACCUUCCUCUUUUUGGUUCUUCGUAACGACUGGCAAAUCCUAUUUCCUGCUCCUUCGUGGAUCAAGCCUAUUGGCUUGAAUUCAAAUAGAACUCCAGGAUCAACUGUAGCUUGGUUUUCAACGAGUUGAAAAACGUGUUAAAAGCAUGUUUUCUAGGUUGGCUAAUAAGCUGCCAUGCUUAUAGGCCAGACAACUUGCAAUCUGAGCUUAGCUCCAGUUUCGUAUGAGGACUGAAGGGGUUACAUCAAUAGAACUAUCCAAAAUGAGCUUAGCUUCAAGUCCGUAUUAGAACUGAAAGGGUUACAUCAAUGAACCUAUCCUUAUUCCAAGCUAUUGAGCUCAUACUGGUUACAGUAGUCUCUCAUGUUUCAUCCUUCGUUAGUUAUGUACACUGUACAUUGUACAGGUGGGGGAUGAGAAUGUACAGGUUUAUUGUCCAUGUGGGAGAUGAGUAUGUACUGCUUGGUUCAACUAGUAAUGGAACAAUAUUGUACAGGUGGGGAAUGAGUAUGUACUGCUUGGUACAACUAGCAUUGGAACUAUAUUGUACAGGUGUAUUGUACAGGUGGGGGGAUGAGUAUGUACUUCUUGGUACAACUAGCCAUGAGACUAUAUUGUACAGUUGGGAUAUGAGUAUGUACUGCUCGGUACAACUAGCCGUGGAAUUAUAUUGUACUUGUGUAUUGUACAGGUGGGGGAUGAGUAUGUACUUCUUGGUACAACUAGCGAUGAAACUAUAUUGUACUUGUGUAUUGUACAGGUGGGGAAUGAGUAUGUACUGCUUGGUACAACUAGCCGUGGAACUAUAUUGUACAGGUGUAUUGUACAGGUGGGGGAUGAGUAUGUACUUCUUAGUACAACUAGCCAUGAAACUAUAUUGUACAAGUGGGGGAUGAGUAUGUACUGCUCGGUACAACUAGCCGUGGAAUUAUAUUGUACUUGUGUAUUGUACAGGUACAGGUGGGGGAUGAGUAUGUACUUCUUGGUACAACUAGCCAUGAAACUAUAUUGUACUUGUGUAUUGUACAGGUGGGGGAUGAGUAAGUACUUCUUGGUAUAACUAGCCAUGGAACUAUAUUGUACUUGUGUAUUGUACAGGUGGGGGAUGAGUAUGUACUGCUCGGUACAACUAGCCGUGGAACUGGCAAGAUUGCAAACUGUGGAGGGGUGGAUAACCCAACUCAUUACGUCAGGAUUAAGGAUAUGGUUCCUUGGUUAUUAAACUAUAUUGACGAAGAAGAUCUUUGCUUUAAAGAUUAAAUCCAAAAAUCUGUUAAUGUUAGAUGAGAAAUAUAUUUAUGAAUAAAGUUUUAACUGGUUUACAAAA